rnacentral:rRNA from 1 species
GAUGAACGCUGGCGGCGUGCCUAAUACAUGCAAGUCGAGCGAACGGACGAGAAGCUUGCUUCUCUGAUGUUAGCGGCGGACGGGUGAGUAACACGUGGAUAACCUACCUAUAAGACUGGGAUAACUUCGGGAAACCGUAGCUAAUACCGGAUAAUAUUUUGAACCGCAUGGUUCAAAAGUGAAAGACGGUCUUGCUGUCACUUAUAGAUGGAUCCGCGCUGCAUUAGCUAGUUGGUAAGGUAACGGCUUACCAAGGCAACGAUGCAUAGCCGACCUGAGAGAGUGAUCGGCCACACUAGAACGUAGACGCGGUCCAUACUCCUACGAGAGGCAGCAGUAGGGAAUCUUCCGCAAUGGGCGAAAGCCUUACAGAGCAACGCCGCGUGAGUGAUGAAGGUCUUCGGAUCGUAAAACUCUGUUAUUAGUGAAAAACAUAUGUGUAAGUAGCUGUACACAGCUUGACGGUACCUAAUCAGAAAGCCACGGCUAACUACGUG